rnacentral:rRNA from 1 species
AUGCAGCACAUCUUCUCCUUCGGGCUGGCAACUGGGAAGCAUGCCAUGGGCUCGGGGGAGCCUCUUGGUUCUCCCAUGCCUGACUUCCCUGGGACCCUGGACGUCGAGAUCCUUGAUGGCCCUGACAAGCCCGCUGCGAAGCCCUUCGACAAGCCAUUUGACCCCGUUGAUAGAAAGAGGAAGAGAGGAGGCCUGAUGGAGGAGGAGAUCAAUGUCUUCCGCAGCACGACUGAGGCGGUGAAGGAGGUGGCAACAGCCAUCAGGGAGUGCAAGCCCCUCGACGUCCACCCUAACCUGUAUGGCGCUGUCAUGACCCAGGGUGGCUUCAGCGACGAGGCUCUCAUGGCAGCUCUCAGCCACCUGCUUGACAACAAGGCCCAUGGUGUUGGGUUCGUUGCCAUGGUCGACGCUCACAGGAUGAUGUGGCUCAGGAGCUGGCUGGGCAAGCACUACUACUAG